rnacentral:lncRNA from 1 species
UCCCACCUGCAUCUACAGGGCUCUGCCCCCAUCCAGUCCCUGGACCAGCUUCCAAGCCUACCCCUCACCCCAGCCUGGGGGCUCCGCAAGCUUCAGGACUCCGAGGGGCUCAGUAGCAGUCACGUGCAUGCUGGGACCGCGACCGAGAGGCUGCUGCUCCCCGGGCCCCCAGAGGCAGAUCUGUUGGCCUCCCGGCGCCGUCUGACCCAGGCCACUGCAGGCUGGCUGCUGCUUCCAGCCAUCGGCUCCUGCUUGACUGAGGCUUGCCGAUAUUCUCCCUGAAGCCAGGAUCUGCCGUGUGCCCACCCGCGAGACAGGUAGGUCGAGGCCUGCUCUUGGGAGCUGCUAGUCUGAGGACAGAGAGGGAGGAGACAGCGGCCUGGCUUCCCAGGCCAUUUGGUCUGGGGAGGGGAGACAGGAAUGGAGACCACUAAUAGAGGUCUCAGUUUGGUCUUGAAGCCCAGGUGCGGGCAGGCCAGUGAGGCUGAGGCUUGCAAGUGUGGGGGCAACAGUCCGCAGCUGUAGGCCGG